ensembl:lncRNA
CUGGGGAGGGCCUAAGAGGAAAGGCGGCCACUGGGAAAGGGGGCCCCCAACUUCACGGUCUACAGAGCCCCCCACUUUGGAGGGCUCCGUCGCGGGGGCGAGCGAGAGAACGGGAGCCAUGACUGUCACUUUCUGGGAGCCGCGGGGGCCUGCCGGGCUCUCUGCGCGCGGAGCCGAGGCCCGGAGCGCCGGGCGGAAGCGCAGCGCGGAGAAGGUGACUGUCAUCUGAGAGCGCGGCUCCACCGGGGAAGGCGGCGACCGCCCGGCAGGCUACGCAGGCGAGCCCCCCAGCUCCUCGCAAGGAUGUGCCAGGCGCCCCGAAGGCGACCAGGCGUCUACCACCGACGCUGGAGGCGUCCGAGUGAGGAGAGGAGUCAGCGGGGGACGAGGAGGCCAGAGAAACCCGAGAGGCCGGUGGGCUUUGAAAAGCGCCACGGGCCGCACUCCGAGCCCGGCACAAGCCUCUCGCCCCAGCUCGCGCCAGGACACGGCGUCCUGGCUCCUCGCGACGACCCUCGAAAACAUCCCUCGGCUCCCUCCUCCCAACCCUGGGCCCUGGCCCGAGAGGCCGGCCGGGUGCCCCUCAGUCUACGCGCGAGCAGCACUCACCUGGGUCCCUGCGCACCGCGUUGCGCCCGGCUCCAGCGCCGUCCUGCGCUCGGCGCCCCUGUCCCCCCUCCCCGGUCCUAGCCCGAACCCCAGCGCUGCGAGGUUGGCGGGGGAAGGCGUGCGUGGAAGCCCCUGCUGCGGGCAGCCAGGCGCGCGAGGGCCACCCAGGCCCGCGCUCUCCGCCCGCGCAGACUGCUUUCCGGAACCUGGCCGGGCGCGCAGUGUCAGAGGCCCCCGCGGCGGCGGCAGGCCGAGCCCACAGGGGCAUUAGGCCAACUCCCCCCGCGCACGCGGAAUUCUCUAUUAUUAUUAUUAAAGAACCCCCCAGAACGUGUUUACGUUGAACCGUAUAAACUUCCUGCCAGGGCCUUUACCAUCUACGAGAAAUCAGAACCUGCUCUCGGAAAGUGGGGACACCGGGGCUCCGGGGCCAAAUAGGCGGGUUUUCAGUGUGUG